AUUGAACGCUGGCGGCAUGGAUUAGGCAUGCAAGUCGAGCGAGAAGUGUAGCAAUACACGGAAAGCGGCGGAAGGGAGAGUAAUACGUGGGAAUCUGCCCUUAGACCUGGGAUAGCAGCGGGAAACUGCUGGUAAUACCAGAUAAUGUCUAUGGACCAAAGGUGUGAUUCCGUCUAGGGAUGAGCCCACGUCCUAUUAGCUAGUUGGUAGGGUAAUGGCCUACCAAGGCGAUGAUGGGUAGCGGGUGUGAGAGCAUGACCCGCCUCACUGGGACUGAGACACAGCCCAGACACCGACGGGUGGCUGCAGUCGAGAAUCUGCGGCAAUGGGCGCAAGCCUGACCGAGCGAUGCCGCGUGCGGGAUGAAGGCCUUCGGGUUGUAAACCGCUGUCGAGGGGGAGCAACUUCCAUAGAGUUAUCUUUAUGGAUUGAGUGAUCCCUGGAGGAAGGACGGGCUAAGUUCGUGCCAGCCGCCGCCGUAACAC
rnacentral:rRNA from 1 species